rnacentral:rRNA from 1 species
UACGUAGGUGACAAGCGUUGUCCGGAUUUACUGGGCGUAAAGAGCGCGCAGGCGGUCGGAUAAGUCGAAUGUGAAAGCCCCCGGCUCAACUGGGGAGGGUCAUUCGAUACUGUUCGACUCGAAGGCAGGAGAGGGAAGUGGAAUUCCCGGUGUAGUGGUGAAAUGCGCAGAUAUCGGGAAGAACACCCGUGGCGAAGGCGGCUCUCUGGGACGGUACUGACGCUGAGACGCGAAAGCGUGGGGAGCGAACAGG